rnacentral:rRNA from 1 species
CAGCAGCCGCGGGAAUACGUAGGUGGCAAGCGUUGUCCGGAAUUAUUGGGCGUAAAGGGCUCGCAGGCGGUUUCUUAAGUCUGAUGUGAAAGCCCCCGGCUCAACCGGGGAGAGUCAUUGGAAACUGGGAAACUUGAGUGCAGAAGAGGAGAGUGGAAUUCCACGUGUAGCGGUGAAAUGCGUAGAGAUGUGGGGGAACACCAGUGGCGAAGGCGACUCUCUGGUCUGUAACUGACGCUGAGGAGCGAAAGCGUGGGGAGCGAACAGGAUUAGAGACCCCAGUAGUCCCUGUCUCUUAUAC